CCCGCAGCUAUGUUUUUACUUAGCGUAGCUUUUGGGGAAUGGGGAAGGUGAUGCUGAAGAAGAUUCUGGGCUGAGUACCAACGCUCCUCCUCUGGCUCAUCUUUGGCCUCGACUUGGGUCUUCACGUCGUAGCUAUGGUACCCUGGGCAAACCCCUUUUCUCCGGGCCUGUUUCCUCAUCAGUAAAAAUCGGGCUGAUUUUAGCCACCCCCUCUUUAGGUUGUUGUAAAGGUUCAACGAAACAAUGCAUGUACGGGGCCUGGCCCUCUGCUCACGGCGGGGGAUGCUGUUCGUCAGCGUUAGAGCCGGGACUAUUGUUAACGAAGAAACGGAGACUCCAGCAGGAAGAGGACCUUACUCAAGACCCUGGAAUUGCAGUCACAGAAUCACGCACUGCGGCUUGAGGGCUCUGUCCGCGGGACAGAGGGACUCCAGCUCACAGGACACACCCUUUGAGGAUCUCUCCAGUGUCCCCCGUGCCCUUUGGGGAGCAGAGGCUUAGACUUUAGAAUAUCCAGCAACACCGGACCUGGCUCAUGCAGGGCUGCAAUCCUCAGAAGCAGAAAAGCAACUGUCCCCGGCCCAGUGCAGAGGAGUGGAGAAUACCGAGUAUGUCCUCUGGGAGCCAGAAUGCCGGGGUCCGAAUCCCAAACUGCCACUGCCUGACCGUGUGACUUCAAGCUACAGACUUUGAACCUGUGAACCCAGAUGUCUCCCGUCUAUAAAGUGGGAAUAAUACCGAUCACACCGGUCUUGUGAAGUCCCUGGAAGAGUGCCCGGGAUAUAAUGUCAGCAGGAGCAGCCAUUGUCUUCGUGUAAUUACCCCCUUCCUCGGUGAGUCACCCCAAAUUGUGAAACUCCAGACCAGACAGACAGGGGCCGCAUCAAGACUUCUGAGAAGGGGAAGGCGGUUCUGACCAGAAUUGUAUGAAGAACGUGCACAAGGACGGGUCACCUCCGAUGACCUGUCCAAGGGGCUGCGGUCCUGGCCGGUUAGAGACCAGGGAGGGGGCAUCCCUGGCCCCACAACCUCUGAACUUGACCCAGGAGGCCUGAAGCCACAGAGUGAGUGUCUUCUCCACGUCCAUGCAGGCGGCUCUGC